UCUAUUGUGGCAGAAUAUGCAGUAAAUUUAAGAUUUAUAUAUAAAAGUUAGUCUUUUUUUUAGAA
rnacentral:tRNA from 1 species